GACCUCCUAGGAUCGCAUCUGGAGAGUUUUCCAUACUCUUCCAGCUUUGGACACGGGAGGGAGAGAAGCUGCAGAAAAUUACCCAUUCCAUUGCUAGUUCAAAAACAGGCUAGUAAAUGGAAGUUACUCUGCAACAUAU